rnacentral:rRNA from 1 species
UACGAAGGGGGAUAGCGUUGUUCGGAAUGACUGGGCGGAAAGCGCACGUAGGCGGAUUGUUCAGUUGGGGGUGAAAUCCCGUGGCUCAACCUCGGAACUGCCUCCAAUACUGCCAAUCUUGAGUUCGGGAGAGGUGAGUGGAAUUCCUAGUGUAGAGGUGAAAUUCGUAGAUAUUAGGAAGAACACCAGUGGCGAAGGCGGCUCACUGGCCCGAUACUGACGAUGAGGUGCGAAAGCGUGGGGAGCACACAGG